rnacentral:rRNA from 1 species
CGACUCUCGGCAACGGAUAUCUCGGCUCUCGCCACGAUGAAGAAUGUAGCGAAAUGCGAUACUUAGUGUGAAUUGCAGAAUCCCGUGAAUCAUCAAGUCUUUGAACGCAAGUUGCGCCCGAGGCCUCGGCCAAGGGCACGUCUGCUUGGGCGUCGCAC